GAUCAUGGCUCAGAACGAACGCUGGCGGCGCGUUUAAGCAUGCAAGUCGAGCGGCAAGGGCCUUCGGGCCCCUAGAGCGGCGGACGGGUGAGUAACACGUGGACAAUCUGCCCCCCGGCCCGGGAUAGCCCAGGGAAACCUGGAUUAAUACCGGAUGAGACGGGACCCGCGAUGGCGGGAUCCGGGAAAGGCGCUGCGGCGCCGCCGGGGGAUGAGUCUGCGUCCCAUUAGCUAGACGGCGGGGUAACGGCCCACCGUGGCGACGAUGGGUAGCCGGCCUGAGAGGGUGGACGGCCACAUUGGAACUGAGACACGGUCCAGACUCCUACGGGAGGCAGCAGCUAAGAAUCUUCCGCAAUGGGCGAAAGCCUGACGGAGCGACGCCCGCGUGAACGAAGAAGGCCGUGAGGUUGUAAAGUUCUUUUCGGGAGGGGGAACAACCGUGGCAGGGAAUGGCCGCGGGAUGACGUGAAUCCCGGAAUAAGCCCCGGCUAACUACGUGCCAGCCGCAGC
rnacentral:rRNA from 1 species